rnacentral:lncRNA from 1 species
UGCUUUGUAGUUUCGUGCACUACGGAGAGAAACAGUCUCUUUGCUGAAGACCGUGGACUAGUGCUUUUGAGACUCCCACCAGUUCUAAUAUUUUGGUAGAUUAUAAUACAGGAGUAAAAGAAAACAAACAUUUAUAUUCAGUUCAUGUGUUGCUUUUUUCUUUCUUAGCAUAUAGUGUGGCAAACUGAACCUAGGAAAGAGAAUUGAGAAACACAUUAGCAAAACAUAAAUUAAAACUCAAAAACUGAAACAAAACAAAACAAUCUACCAGGCAGAGAGGAUUCCCGUAUUUUCAUCCUCUGUUCUAAUAGUAGAUUAUCCAUGGUCAGUUACAUGAACACUUUGAUAUUGUGAAAUAAAUGUGAUC